UUGCUGAUGACAUCAAAAUGUGGGGUGUGGUCAACAUACCACAGGGACAGGAUGCCAUCCAGAAGAACCUAGACAGGCUUGAGCAGUCGGCCCAGGGUGCAUCAUCUGUGGCUCAAUACAAGCAGAGUCAGGCAUAGUGCAGCUAACCUGGCUAAUACUGGAGAGGAGCAGUUUUGCCAUGACCUUCAGCAUCACCUUCAGGGUGUUUUAGUUCAUCAGCAUGGCGUAAAUGGGAGCCUAUGACCCAAGCUGACUGAAGAAAAGAAAAGGAUAAAUGGCAUAAAACUGGCCAACAUCAGAGGACGUCCUACAUCAAGUUACUUUCCUAGGUGAUUUGUACUGCCUGAAAAGAGUAAAAGUCUCAUUAAAAGAGAGAAGGAGCGAGCUAUUAUUUUUCUGGAAUAUUCCAACAUGGGCUUAGUGCCAAGCACACUGGUGUUGGAGAGGAGAAGCUGAUCUGCAGCUGUUCUCACCAUGAGGAAAUGCAGGUAUCUUGCAACAGGAGCCAGAUGGCUCGGGAAAUGGAAAAAUGGCAUAAAAGAGUUGCAAGUAACAAUCUACUGAAGAUCAGAAAUAGCCACGUUAUGUUGCCUUCCGAAGUCUAUACAGUAACCAGUUUAAAUGAACCUGGACAGUGGGUCUCACUUCAGCAACCAGUGCUGUAACAUCAGAUCUCCAUGAGCAUUUCUUCCGUAUGACAAGAAGAAACAAAAUGUGUAGAGCUGCAGACAGGUAAUGGGUUCUCUAAGAAUCUCUGUAAAUGGAAGUGGAUCAGGGUCCAAACCUGGACUCUGAAACAGAACCAUGGCCAUCCCAAACACCUAGGGGCAUACUGAACACCUGCCAGGGGACCACAGCCUAAACUGAUCUGCACACACAGUAAUACAGUAGGCUGCAUAUUGAAAUUUACAUGAUUGACUCUAUGGUCCUGAAUUGUAAACUGAAGUGAAAACCUAGGCAACAAAUAUUAGGAAAAAGUAAGUGCAAGGCUUUGUGCCUGCUUGUAGUUUUAUUUUCUAAAAGUUUAGUAGCUUGUUGUUUUGAAUUUAUGAGCUAUAAAAAUUGGCAUUAUUAGGUACCAGCAGACAAAAAUGUGAGAAGUUGUGGUGCUGCAGUUUUAAUAAAGCUGGCAUAAAAUAAGUGAUACAGAUGCAAUACAAACCUGAUCCUAUUUUCUCUGUUUGAUGGGGUGUAUGGGGCUGCUGAAUCAUGGCCUGAA